GUGGACCGUAGACUCGAAAACUUCGCGGAAACACAGGGAUCUCUGGAGCUUCGAUAGAGCCAUGGAAGCAUUGGCAAAGCUGGAGAGAGUCCAGACUCGACUCCUCAAACGCCUAUCGAACCUCGAAUCUUCUCUUCUCUCUCAACAUUUCUCUCAAAACCUCUCUCUAUCAACUUCCACCACCACCGAAGAUCGCCUUUCCGGCAUUCUUCGCACUAACGGCGUCGUCGAUUUCAGCUUCAAACGCGUCCCCUCUGAUUACUAUGAUUGGCCGCUCGAAUCUCGUCGUGAUAUUGUCAGUGCCGCAUCCAUUCAACAUCUCUGCAAAAGCAUUGUUCUGGUAAAUACUCAAGCCGCAUCCAAUAUUAUUGAUUGUAGUGAUCGUAACAAUUCAAAAUACUACGUUGUCGUUGUACAGUAUGCAGCUCGAUUUAAUGCUGAGGCUGUAAAGAAUUUUCUGUACAUUCUCAAUGAGAGCAAGAUAGCCAAGAAGAAAUUCAACAUGAGGCUGGCUCCUGAGGAGACAUCAGUAAAGCUGACUGGUUAUGAGCACAAUGCAGUCACAUGUAUUGGCAUGAAAACCAACAUACCGCUGAUGGUAGCUAAUGCCAUAUCAGCUAGUUUAAGAGCUACUCCUAAUGAAUGCCAAGAUUUGUGAUUACAUUCUCUAAUGCUGCAACUGGUGGUACCUAAUUUCCAUAUCAGCUACUUUCUGAGCUGCUUCUAAUGAAAUCCAGGAUUAAGUGGAUAAUCACACUAAUGAAGAUAUUAACUUGACUGGAACACUCCUGUUGUAAAUCAUUGAUUCCUCUAAAGUAUUGUUGGUUAAACCACAAAACAUCUGUCUGUCUUGCCUCCUGCACUCAUGUGCAUUACAUCAAUGUGUAUUAGGUAGUGCAGCCUUCAUGUCCACUGCUGUUUGCUGUAGCUUGAACAAAUUGGGCCCUGAGAUCUAGUUGCCUGUGUCUUGAUUCCUGUCACUCUCUUGCUUACACCAAUUGCUAAUAAUAUGCGAUAUAUGCUGAUGGGUCCCCGGUCUACCACAUUUAGAUGGGAAGUGGACUAAUUGGUGAUUUUGGAUGAAGCAAUCGCCAAGCUCAAUCCUGACUUCUUCUGGUUCGGAGGUGGCGAGAUUGAUCUUAAACUGGGGAUCAGGAC